rnacentral:rRNA from 1 species
AGAGUUGAUAUGGCUCAGGAUGAACGCUGGCGGCGUGCCUAACACAUGCAAGUCGAACGGGGUUAAGGGAAGUUUCGGAUGGAACUUAACUUAGUGGCGGACGGGUGAGUAACGCGUGGAUAACCUGCCUCGCACUGGGGGAUAGCAGCUGGAAACGGCUGGUAAUACCGCAUAAGACCACAAUGCCGCAUGGCACUGGGGUAAAAGAUUUAUCGGUGCGAGAUGGAUCCGCGUCUGAUUAGCCAGUUGGCGGGUAACGGCCCACCAAAGCGACGAUCAGUAGCCGGCCUGAGAGGGUGAACGGCCACAUUGGGACUGAGACACGGCCCAAACUCCUACGGGAGGCAGCAGUGGGGAAUAUUGCACAAUGGGCGCAAGCCUGAUGCAGCAACGCCCGCGUGAGUGAAGAAGUAUUUCGGUAUGUAAAGCUCUAUCGGCAGGGAAGAAAGGCCCGAAAGGGAGAUGACGGUACCUGACUAAGAAGCCCCGGCUAACUACGUGCCAGCCGCAGC